ACAUGCAAGUCGAACGGAAAGGCCGAAGCUUGCUUCGGUACUCGAGUGGCGAACGGGUGAGUAACACGUGGGUGAUCUGCCCUGUACUUCGGGAUAAGCUUGGGAAACUGGGUCUAAUACCGGAUAUGACAAUCUCUUGGAUGGGGUUGUGGAAAGCUUUUGCGGUAUGGGAUGAGCUCGCGGCCUAUCAGCUUGUUGGUGGGGUAAUGGCCUACCAAGGCGUCGACGGGUAGCCGGCCUGAGAGGGUGUACGGCCACAUUGGGACUGAGAUACGGCCCAGACUCCUACGGGAGGCAGCAGUGGGGAAUAUUGCACAAUGGGCGCAAGCCUGAUGCAGCGACGCCGCGUGGGGGAUGACGGCCUUCGGGUUGUAAACUCCUUUCGCAACCGACGAAGCUUUUGUGACGGUAGGUUGAGAAGAAGCACCGGCUAACUACGUGCCAGCAGCCGCGGUAAUACGUAGGGUGCGAGCGUUGUCCGGAAUUACUGGGCGUAAAGAGCUCGUAGGUGGUUUGUCGCGUCGUUUGUGGAAUACCGCAGCUUAACUGCGGGGUUGCAGGCGAUACGGGCAUAACUUGAGUGCUGUAGGGGAGACUGGAAUUCCUGGUGUAGCGGUGGAAUGCGCAGAUAUCAGGAGGAACACUCGAUGGCGAAGGCAGGUCUCUGGGCAGUAACUGACGCUGAGGAGCGAAAAGCAUGGGGGAGCGAACAGGAUUAGAUACC
rnacentral:rRNA from 1 species